UAAAACGACUCUCGGCAACGGAUAUCUCGGCUCUCGCAUCGAUGAAGAACGUAGCGAAAUGCGAUACUUGGUGUGAAUUGCAGAAUCCCGUGAACCAUCGAGUCUUUGAACGCAAGUUGCGCCCGAAGCCUUCUGGCCGAGGGCACGUCUGCCUGGGCGUCACGC
rnacentral:rRNA from 1 species